UGGGGCGUGGCCAAGCGGUAAGGCGCGGGGCUUUGGACCCCGUAUUCGAAGGUUCGAAUCCUUCCGCCCCAGCCA
rnacentral:tRNA from 1 species